rnacentral:rRNA from 1 species
GAUGAACGCUGGCGGCGUGCCUAAUACAUGCAAGUCGAGCGAACAGAUAAGGAGCUUGCUCCUUUGACGUUAGCGGCGGACGGGUGAGUAACACGUGGGUAACCUACCUAUAAGACUGGGAUAACUUCGGGAAACCGGAGCUAAUACCGGAUAACAUUUGGAACCGCAUGGUUCUAAAGUGAAAGAUGGUUUUGCUAUCACUUAUAGAUGGACCCGCGCCGUAUUAGCUAGUUGGUGAGGUAACGGCUUACCAAGGCGACGAUACGUAGCCGACCUGAGAGGGUGAUCGGCCACACUGGGACUGAGACACGGUCCAGACUCCUACGGGAGGCAGCAGUAGGGAAUCUUCCGCAAUGGGCGAAAGCCUGACGGAGCAACGCCGCGUGAGUGAUGAAGGGUUUCGGCUCGUAAAACUCUGUUAUUAGGGAAGAACAAAUGUGUAAGUAACUGUGCACAUCUUGACGGUACCUAAUCAGAGAGCCACGGCUAACUACGUGCCAUCAGCCGCGGUAAUACGUAGGUGGCAAGCGUUAUCCGGAAUUAUUGGGCGUAAAGCGCGCGUAGGCGGUUUCUUAGUCUGAUGUGAAAGCCCACGGCUCAACCGUGGAGGGUCAUUGGAAACUGGGAAACUUGAGUGCAGAAGAGGAAAGUGGAAUUCCAUGUGUAGCGGUGAAAUGCGCAGAGAUAUGGAGGAACACCAGUGGCGAAGGCGACUUUCUGGUCUGUAACUGACGCUGAUGUGCGAAAGCGUGGGGAUCAAACAGGAUUAGAUACCCUGGUAGUCCACGCCGUAAACGAUGAGUGCUAAGUGUUAGGGGGUUUCCGCCCCUUAGUGCUGCAGCUAACGCAUUAAGCACUCCGCCUGGGGAGUACGACCGCAAGGUUGAAACUCAAAGGAAUUGACGGGGACCCGCACAAGCGGUGGAGCAUGUGGUUUAAUUCGAAGCAACGCGAAGAACCUUACCAAAUCUUGACAUCCUUUGAAAACUCUAGAGAUAGAGCCUUCCCCUUCGGGGGACAAAGUGACAGGUGGUGCAUGGUUGUCGUCAGCUCGUGUCGUGAGAUGUUGGGUUAAGUCCCGCAACGAGCGCAACCCUUAAGCUUAGUUGCCAUCAUUAAGUUGGGCACUCUAGGUUGACUGCCGGUGACAAACCGGAGGAAGGUGGGGAUGACGUCAAAUCAUCAUGCCCCUUAUGAUUUGGGCUACACACGUGCUACAAUGGACAAUACAAAGGGCAGCUAAACCGCGAGGUCAUGCAAAUCCCAUAAAGUUGUUCUCAGUUCGGAUUGUAGUCUGCAACUCGACUACAUGAAGCUGAAAUCGCUAGUAAUCGUAGAUCAGCAUGCUACGGUGAAUACGUUCCCGGGUCU